rnacentral:rRNA from 1 species
CCUACGGGUGGCUGCAGUGGGGAAUAUUGGACAAUGGGCGAAAGCCUGAUCCAGCCAUGCCGCGUGUGUGAAGAAGGCCUUCGGGUUGUAAAGCACUUUCAGUGGGGAAGAAAGCCUUGGGGCUAAUACCCUCGAGGAAGGACAUCACCCACAGAAGAAGCACCGGCUAACUCCGUGCCAGCAGCCGCGGUAAUACGGAGGGUGCGAGCGUUAAUCGGAAUUACUGGGCGUAAAGCGCGCGUAGGCGGUCUGAUAAGCCGGUUGUGAAAGCCCCGGGCUCAACCUGGGAACGGCAUCCGGAACUGUCAGGCUAGAGUGCAGGAGAGGAAGGUAGAAUUCCCGGUGUAGCGGUGAAAUGCGUAGAGAUCGGGAGGAAUACCAGUGGCGAAGGCGGCCUACUGGACUGACACUGACGCUGAGGUGCGAAAGCGUGGGUAGCAAACAGGAUUAAUACCCUGGUAGUC